AAUUGAAUUCACAACUUAUGAAUCACAACUGGAUGUAAUCAAAUCAUAUUGCAAGCAUGAACAUAGUUUCGAAUCACCCCCUAACUAAGAGGGGUUUAGUUCCUCAUACUUACAAAGCAAAGAUGCAUAAAUUUAGACAUUAAAAACAAAGAUAGAAAACACCUAGAAACGCUCCAACACUCCCGAGGCUUGGGCAUAGGCACGGCACAAGAUGUUCCUUCUCUUUCCUUCCUUGCAAGCAGCGGCACUAGAGGUUUUGGACGGUUUUGGGUGGUUUUUAUGGUGUAGAAUGGAUGGGGAAUGGUAUGGAAAGGUUUAGGGUAAGUGUGGAGGAGUGUUUGAGGGUUGGAGGGUGGUGGAGAACUAGGCAAAGAGGGUGGAAGAAGGUGGAGUGGCUGUUAUGUUUUCUAGGCACUAGAAUGGUGUUUUUGGGGUGUUUUGCUUCCUAGGGUGUGUAUGGACGAAUUGUUG
rnacentral:lncRNA from 1 species